rnacentral:rRNA from 1 species
AUUGAACGCUGGCGGCAGGCCUAACACAUGCAAGUCGAGCGGAUGAAGGGAGCUUGCUCCUGGAUUCAGCGGCGGACGGGUGAGUAAUGCCUAGGAAUCUGCCUGGUAGUGGGGGAUAACGUCCGGAAACGGGCGCUAAUACCGCAUACGUCCUGCGGGAGAAAGUUGGGGAUCUUCGGACCUCACGCUAUCAGAUGAGCCUAGGUCGGAUUAGCUAGUUGGUGGGGUAAAGGCCUACCAAGGCGACGAUCCGUAACUGGUCUGAGAGGAUGAUCAGUCACACUGGAACUGAGACACGGUCCAGACUCCUACGGGAGGCAGCAGUGGGGAAUAUUGGACAAUGGGCGAAAGCCUGAUCCAGCCAUGCCGCGUGUGUGAAGAAGGUCUUCGGAUUGUAAAGCACUUUAAGUUGGGAGGAAGGGCAGUAAGUUAAUACCUUGCUGUUUUGACGGUACCAACAGAAUAAGCACCGGCUAACUUCGUG